rnacentral:lncRNA from 1 species
GCAUCUCCUGUCACUCCCACUGCCAGCUGGCCAAGUCUGGCUCAUGCGGGCAUUUGAGCUGUUGAGCACAGGGCCAGGUUUGGGGAGGUUGGGCUCUGUCACUUUUGAGCAGCAAAACCUUGGGAAUGUUGACAACACUGGGCCUAAGAUUUCUGCAGCAAGAAAAUGAACAUGAUAAACCUCAUUCAUACAAGUGCCUGAGAAAUGUUGAAUUGGUUCCUUCCACGACUUCAAUUAAGGUGAGUGUUCACGGAGGUCACAUGGGUGAAGCACUCAGUAGUGAAGUUGGCAGAUAGGAAGUGUUUGGGGGCAGACAUCCUGGUCACUAGAGGCAAUUUGGAGACAGCGAAUAGGGGGGUAAUUAGAACUGGGUGGGUAUUCUCAGGGGGCACAGGGAGAGGGGACAGUAGAAGAGGGGUGUGGAAAAACUCAUAUAUAAAGCUGAAAAACCUCAUGUGUAAAGCACAGAUAGACACACAGUACAUAAGCACAGGUAGUUACUCUGUUAGUAACAUUUCAUUUAUAAGGAAAAAAAGGUUUACAAAUCCUCCUUUAGGGCAGCCAUCAUUGGGUUAGGACACAAAGCUAAUCUCUUCUGACCACAGUGAGGUGAAGCAGGCUUGAGGGAACCCAGACUCAAUGAUGGGAAUCCCCUACAUUGAUCUUACUCUGUAGAGUUUACCAAGGGGCUUGUAAAUGACAGGGAGCGGGCUCAGGGUGGAAGAACCUGAGACACCCCCCACUCCCCAGUGGUUGGCACAGCACAGAUGCUCUGGAAGAGGAGCAGGAAAGCAUGGUCAUUUAACCAAUGAGCUUGAAUCAGACACACUUGUUUCAAAUUCUGGCCUCCCCGCUCACUGUGUGACUUGGGUAAGUGCUUAACCUUGGGUGACUUGCUUAACCAUAAAGUAGGGAUGAUAAUAGUACCAAAUCAUGGUGUGCUGCGGUGAUUGAAUACAAAAAGCUUCUGGGACAUUGGCAGGGACACAGGAAGGGUUUGGCAAAUGUUAGUUAUUAGUAUUUUGCACGCUCAUGUUUCUGAGAAGACAGGGCAUGGCUUUCAUAAAGUUCUCAAAAGGAUCAUGACUCACGAAGGUGAAGAAUCUUGGAAAGGCAAGAGCUACUCUCGUAAACCACGGCAUCAGGUGCAGUCCCGGCCCCGCUUACCCAGGAGCCACGGUGUUCUGUGUAUCCAUCAGGGUCUCUGUACCUCGGUCCAGUGGCUCAUCAGAUCACAGCCGGACCACUGCAGCCUCACCUUGCCACCCCUCCUCCCUCCACCGCGUCACUUCUUAGCUCUCCUUGUCACCUCUCGUCCUGCUUCAGUCUUCUGGAAUUGUUUCUGUUUAUCUGAGAUUUUUCACGUUUCCAGUCCUAUCCUCCUGACGCCCCACACACUGAAACGCCUUCAGUGGCUCAUCAUGACCUUUAGAUAAAAGGUCAAACUCCUGUGCAUGACACAGGGCCUGACCUGGCCCUGUCCACCCCUUGACCUGGCCCUGUCCCCCCCGCCUCCCACCACACUAACCAGCGCCUUUCUGCCCGACCCUCCCUCGCCUCCGCCCUGGCAGACGCUCUCCUCUGCCUCCAAUGCCCUUGUCUCUCUGCAGCAAGUCCCAAGCUCACAGUGUCGCCUGAUAUUUCCAGACUGAUGUUUAUGUGCUUUGUCUACACCCCCCUUGAAUUUUAAAACAAUUUUUUCAUUGAUUUUUGUGACUUAUUUUUCAUCUCCCAAAGACUCUGAGCUCCUUAAAGAAAGAGAGCAAAUGUUUUUUCCUCUUUGAUCCUCAGUGCUGAGUUCAAGUUAUAGUAGCACUAAGUAUAUACUCAAUAAAUAUUUGUGGGAUAGAUAAAUAGAGGAAUGAAUAGUGUUUAAUAAGCUUUUUAUGCUCAUAUGUUAAUAAUUGAAAGAGCUGACUCGAGAAGCCAAUGUAUUCAGGUGGCACAAGACCCCAACUUGGCUCAGUUUAGUCCAAAAGAGCAGUAGGCCUGUGUUAGUUAGCUUUCUGUGCUGAUAACAAAAUAUUUGAUAGAAGCUAUUUAUGAAGUAAAGAGAUGUUUAUUUACCUUAAUGUGGGAGGUUCAAGUCCAAGAUGGGGUGACCUUGUUGGUCUGGCCUCUGGGGAAGGUGGUGCAUGAUAGCCCAUCAUGGUAGGAACACAGGUAGGUGCAGACAGUUACCUCUCAAAUCAGCAGAGAGAUAGCAAGAGACCCAGUUCCCACAAUCCCUUCAAGGGCAUCCCCUCAAUAAUCCAAAGACCUCCCACUAGGCCCCUCUGUGUGUGUGAGUGUGUGUGUGUGUGUGUGUGUGUGUGUAUUACUUGGGAUGGAUCCCAGAGCCUUAUGCAUGCUAAGCACACACUCUACUGCUGAGUUGUACCUCCAGCCCCCAAGUCCCUUUGAUAUGAUUUAGAACAAAGGCAUACAAAUCUUAAGCCCCAUCCCAUCCCAUAAAGGUCCAUAGUGCCUCCAAUACCACCACCCUGGGGACCAAACUUUACAUACGGGCCUUUGGGGAAUGCAAUGCCCAAAGCUUUGAAGUCCAAGGGGCAGGAUCCUUGGCGGAGCUGAUCCCUUGGGGUCCAAUGACAGUGGCAGCAUCCUGUCCCUAUCCGGCUCAGCCCUGCGAUCUUCUUGGCUCUUCAUUCUCCCACAGGUCUUAUCCACCAGAGGUGGACUCUCUCAGCAACAGGCUCAGUUCAUUUUUUGAGUGUCAUGGAGAGAACAUUCCCUCUCCUAGCAACCAUACAUCAAAUCCCUCCGAGGGGCUCUGAUUGGCCUGCCUGGGUCUGUGCCCCUCCAUGACACUAAUAGUUUAAAGCAGGAAAUGGGGUGUCAUGACUGGUCAGGCCUGAAUCACAUGUGGUCAGAGGGCAAGUGAGGCCAUGUGACUAGCAGUCCACUGGCACCUGUGAGGAUAGGGAGCCACGGUGACAGUGAGAAGAGGUGGACAGACCUCUUGGUGUGUCUCCGCUUUACCCAAUAUUCCCUCCACAAUGCCACAGAGCCACUCCAGCCAACAGUGAGCAGAAAAGAGACAGCACUUAUUUUUAUUUCCAUGCAUGCUUUGGGGAGUUGGCUGAAAAGGAACCUUGGACAUUGUGCCUUUUGGUUGGUUUAGAUGUGUUUAGACGUGACAGAUUUCAGUCUCAGCUCUUUGGGGGAAUAAAAUAAUGAUUUUAUUUAUUCCAUUCACCUCUCCUUGCUACUCUGUAUGAAAUCUUUCUUUUCUUCCCACUGGAUAGUAGACCCUUUAUUAAAAUCAUGAGCUGAUUCAAUAUUUUUUAAACAGUUCAGACAACUAAAAUUCAGUUUGGUUUAGUUUAAAAUUGGAGUUCUAAAUGUCCAUUUCAAAUUUCCCAGUUGCCCCGACUGGGACAAAGGGGCUGUGAGCUGCUCCUCUUACUCCUUCCUCAGACCUGGGCAUUGUAACGGGUAAGUGGGAGGAGGGCUGAGCAGUCCUGGCUCUCUUCCUGCCGGUGUUAGUCAGCUUUUGGCUCAUGGUUACAGAGGUUCAGUCCCUGGUGUGCUGAUUGCAUUGCUCCAGACCCACCGUGAGGCAGAGCAUUGUGGCAGAAGGGUGCCGCAGAGGAGCCUGCUCACCUCAUGGCGGCCAGGAACAGAGAAGGAAAAGGGAAGGGGCUGCAGGAAAGAUGCACCCUUCCGGGCCACACCCGCAGUGAUCCAAUCAUCCAGCCAGGCCCCGCAGGCCUCCAGGUACCACCCAGUCCAUCCAACCUGGCUGUGCCGUUUAGGUUACAGCACCCACAGUCCAACCACGUCACUUCUGAACUCUUCUGCAUUAACACUGGAGCUCUGGGGUAGGGGCAUCUCCUAUCCAAACCAUAACCCAUGCUUUUCUGGGUCUACUCCCUGCAGGGCAUUGAGGAUCAGAAGACCAGCUCAGCAUGAGCAUCCUGGUAGAGGGUGGGGAGACGCUUUGCUGCGGUGCUUUCUGUGCAUAUGAUCUGCACAGUGUUCUAGAGGCAGUAUUGAGCCUCCUCCUGCUCCCUGGGGUCCCUACUCUCUCUGACCCCUCAUCUCAGGAGCACCUCCUCUCUUGGCAGCCUGAGUCCGCUCCAUGUCUCCCGCCCCUGUCUUUAACCCCUUGCUUCCUGACAUGGAGCCAGGAGGAUCUUUGAUAUCUUUGGUGACAUGCUCAGCUGCAGGGAACAGGGCAAGGCCACUGAGUGAUUUUUCUUGGAGCUUCCCUUGCCCUUAAUUCACUAAGAAAGCACUUCUUACAGUAUGGCCCAUGGACUCCUGGGGACCUUCAAGAGCCUCUCAUUGGAUUCUCAAGGCCGGAAUCUUUUUUUUUUUUUAAUAAUGGAAUGUUAUUUGUUCUUUUCACCUUGUUCCCUUUUGCAGUAAUGAUACACUAUAAUGGUGGGAAAAACUGCUGGUGUCUUAGCGUGAAGGAAGUUAGUGGUGCCCAAAUGCACUAGCAGUCUCUGGAUUCUUCACCACCACCUACUCGCCAGCAGAACCAAAAACUUUGGUUUCACUUAAGAUGAUGUCUUGAUGAAGAAGUAAAAAGCAUUGAUUAAGUUUCUCUCAACCCUUGAGUAUCCAUCUCUAUAAUAAUAUUUGCCGUUGAGAGGAAGAUACACUUAAAGCAGUCCUGUGGCACGUGAAAUAAGAAAAAAAAGGAAAAAAAAAAAAACCACUGUAAGGUGAAGGAACUUAGCCCCUUCUUUCAGGAAAGAAUGACGGACAUGCCAAAUAUUGUGAUACCGGUUGGUUACAAAGAGAGUCUGUCCCUUCCAGGGGCGGAGUGGGAAGCAGUAUUUGUUACAAAUACUGACAGUAUAUAUUACCAAUGAUACAAUUUGCUUUCAAGCAGAAACUGGAAUUUUACAAAAUUUGCAUCUGAUAUCAUGAGCUUCCUAUACUGAAAACUUUUGUGAUGACAUUGCGGGUUGUUUUGGUUUGGCUAAGAGGUGUCCCCUCAAAGCUCCUAUGUUCAUACAGGAAUGUUCAGAGGUGAAUUAUUAGGUGAGAUAACCCCUGAGAAAUUACUAUAGAACUGGUAAAGUUUUGAUGUGAUAUAAUAGAAGAAUAGCUGCAGUUAUAUUGAAAACUAUUAAAAAUUCCUUUCAAACUACAUUUGUGUGAGGCCAGAUUUUUAUAUUCUUCAAUCAAAGCAAUGUAAUUCAACAUCUUAAAUGCAGAAACAGAUGUGAGAAUUGCAGGUAUUUUCUAUUAAGGUAGAUAAUAAAGAGAUUUUCAAAACUGAAAGAUAAUGCUACUUUUUUUUGAAGAUGGAUUAAUUUUUUCAUAUUUUAUGUGAACACAUAAUGGAUGUAUUUAAUGAUGUUUAAGUCAGAUAAUAAGUGAAUAUUUUUAAAAUUCUACUUUUAAUUCCUAAUACUGUGAGCAUUCAUAGAUCUAACCCACAUAAAAUAAACCUCUUUGGACUUACCAAUAAUUUUUAAGAAUGUAAAAGGAUCUUUGUGAUUAAAACAAGAAUUGAGAACUGCUGUGCCAGGAAAUGGGGGAGCACCCUGGCCUCCACUGUAUGGGAAAAAGAGGUUGCUGUUUGCCAACCCCAAAUACAGCAGGACCUGCUAGGCCCGUGACUAGCUACCCACACAACCCAUGACCCCUUCCGUGUGUUCAAGAAUCGUUUCUUCUGUUGCUCCGGGAAGUCCUGGGUGGAGCUGUGGCGGAACUCUUUGUGCCUCUAGCUGUGUUUAGAAGGUUGGUAUCUGGAACCUUUGUCCAAUCUUGGCUGUCCAUCCCGGAAGCCAGGAAGCUUCCCACUCAAUGUCUUGCUAAAUAAUCUUGAAUCAUUUGAUAGUAUUUAUUUAUUUUUUUUCUUUGUAGGAGAGUAGCUAUUCUGUUCUAUCGUGACAAAACAGUGCUUUGACCUCAUUCUCAGGUAUCCGUUAUCACUUUGGAGUGGCAAUGAAUAGAGGUCAGAAGACGGGGUGGAAUUUGGAAAGGAACACAGGCUUAAAUACAAUCCCAGCUGCACCACUUAUAGAGGGACUGGGCAUUUUCUCCUAUGUAAAAUCAGGGUAAAAAUACCUGCCUCUCCUAUUUCUUAGAGACAAUGCACGGAGAUCAUGAGAUGCAGUGAAAUGACCUGUUGUCCUCAUGAUUGUUUUCGUUGGCUUUUUGUUGCUGUGACCAAAAGACCUGAGGAGAACAACUCAGAGGAGGAAAGGUUGAGUUGGGCUCACAGUUUCACAGACUCAGUCCUUGCUCAGUUGACUCCUUUGCCCUGAGGAGAGAGAGAACAUCGUGGCCGAGGGGCGUGGAGGGGGAAAGCAGCUCAGGGCAUGGCCACCAGGGAGCAGAGAGAGAGAGAGUUCUGCUCACCAGAGACAAAGUAUAAACCCAGCGGCAUGCCCCCAGGAACCUACUUCCUGCGCCACAUCCAGUGCCUACUGUUAGCACCCAGUUCAUCAUCUCAGUGGACUAACUGAUAGGCUCUCCUAAGGUAGUCACUUCACUUCUGAACAUCCUGGCAUGGUCUCCCACAUGAGCUUUUGGGGGAUACCUCAUAUCUAACCCGUAACAAUCAUCAUCAUCAUCCUUCUCUUAGCAGGGUAGAUGGGAGAGGCUGCUGGUGGAACCUUCUGAGGCUACAGUUGAAGUCCUCCUUGGUGCACCCAUGCAGGUCUUCAUGGUCUCUUAUCUCCUUUCUCUCUGAAGGGCAGGGAACAGCAGAUCCACUGGACAAGAUGAACAUCUAUCACUCUCUUCCCCACUCUGUCCUGACAAAGAGAAAAAUCCUUCCUUCGAUAAUGGUUGGCACACACGUUUUUCCUGAGGAGACCUUUCUUCUUGCCUCCAAUUACCCCCAAGGCCUGCACCUUCCUUUGGCCUUCUCCCUAACUCUAGACCUUGGUGUGGGUCAGCGUGGAUUCAAAACACCUACCACUGGGUACCAUGUUUGGUCAACAGUGGAAAAAAUAAAGAGCUGAUUGGAUUUUAUGAAAUAAGAUUUGCUGAAUAAAAAGCUAUUGGA